rnacentral:rRNA from 1 species
UACGAGGGGGGCGAGCGUUGUUCGGAAUUAUUGGGCGUAAAGGGUGCGUAGGCGGUUUGGUAAGUCUUAUGUGAAAUCUACAGGCUCAACUUGUAGUCUGCAUGAGAAACUGCCGGGCUUGAGUAUGGGAGAGGUGAGUGGAAUUCCUAGUGUAGCGGUGAAAUGCGUAGAUAUCAGGAGGAACACCUGUGGCGAAAGCGGCUCACUGGACCAUAACUGACGCUGAUGCACGAAAGCUAGGGGAGCAAACAGG